UUGUGAAACCAAUCUUGUAUUGCUCUUGUAGCGAUAAAUCUGUCCACCUCUAUGAACUGCCAAUAUUCACUGACAGGGGCAGAUUAUUUGCAAAACAAGAAGUCCAGACUCUUCAAAUAGGUCCUGGGGGCCUCUUUUUUACUGGGGAUCAGACUGGUUUGCUGACAGUGUAUACAUGGGUAGCAGACUAAUGGCUGAGACGUGCCCAAGACUAAGUACAGCAUGCUUUUUAUUAGUUAUGGCAAACAAUGUACAGUAUUUUGAGUACAUUUUCCAAUGUACAAUAUUUUGAGUUUAGAAAUUCAUGUUAUUAUGAAUAUUGUGGAUAAAACAAUGUAAACUACGUAAUGAAAAUAAAUAACUACAUAACCUAAGGAAAAGACUUUGGUUUA